UACGUAGGGUGCGAGCGUUGUCCGGAAUUAUUGGGCGUAAAGGGCUCGUAGGCGGUCUGUCACGUCGGGAGUGAAAACCCAGGGCUUAACCCUGAGCCUGCUUCCGAUACGGGCAGACUAGAGGUAUGCAGGGGAGAAUGGAAUUCCUGGUGUAGCGGUGAAAUGCGCAGAUAUCAGGAGGAACACCGGUGGCGAAGGCGGUUCUCUGGGCAUUACCUGACGCUGAGGAGCGAAAGUGUGGGGAGCGAACAGG
rnacentral:rRNA from 1 species